rnacentral:rRNA from 1 species
CGUAGUAACUGCGAGUGAAGUGGGAAGAGCUCAAAUUUGGAAUCUGGCGGUUCUGGCCGUCCGAGUUGUAAUCUAGAGAAGUGUUACCUGCGCUGGACCGUGUACAAGUCUCCUGGAACGGAGCGUCAUAGAGGGUGAGAAUCCCGUCUCUGACACGGACUACCAGGGCUUUGUGGUAUGCUCUCAAAGAGUCSAGUUGUUUGGGAAUGCAGCUCAAAAUGGGUGGUAAACUCCAUCUAAAGCUAAAUACUGGSGAGAGACCGAUAGUGAACAAGUACCGUGAGGGAAAGAUGAAAAGAACUUUGGAAAGAGAGUUAAACAGUACGUGAAAUUGCUGAAAGGGAAACGCUUGAAGUCAGUCGCGUUGGCUGGGGAUCAGCUUCCCAAAUAAGUGYGGUGUAUUUCCUGGUUGACGGGUCAGCAUCAAUUUUGACUGCUGGAGAAAGGCUUGAGGAAUGUAGCAGCCCCGGCUGUGUUAUAGCCUCUUGUCAGAUACAGUGGUUGGGAUUGAGGUGUGCAGCACGCCGCGAGGCCGGGGCU